GUUGCUUACAGAGGUAACUGCGCAGCGUUACCAUUUACAUUUUCUUCCCUACAGGGUUACAGUUUUAAUGUUUUUCUAUUACAGGAUUUCUGGGCGGAUGUGUGAAGAAACGGUGUUUAUGGGUUAGGAGUUGGGGAUGCUAUUACACUGUAUUUACAGGAAAUGUUUUAUAGCACCUAUGGAAUGAGGAUGCCUGACUACGGUCAAUGUGCUGCUAAUGUUUGCUUUGCUUUGGUGAGAGGGGUGCAGUAGAAAACAGACAAGUGACAUGAAAACAAGUAAUAAUAACAAAUAACAAAUUUGGGGACAGUUUGACCUAGAGCCCACUAACUGGCCAUUAGGGGCUCUCUCGCUCUCGCUCUCUCUCUCUCUCUCUCUCUCUCUCUCUCUCUCUCUCUCUCUCUCUCUCUCUCUCUCAGGUUGUUGCUCUUUAACUCCUAGAACACGCCCUUGGCGAGGCAGGCAAAGAUGUUGCGUCUUUGUUUGCUUCCUGGCCCUGGGUCUCAUUCCCAUUGGCAUAAUCCUGAUCUGUGAAGGGCCCCCGACACUUCUGACACCUUCAAGUUCAAAAGCUUCGCCCCCUUCUGACAGUCCCAAUCUGACAAAUGUAGCCCCUAGGGUCUUGCCCACCACUUCCUCUCCAGUUUUGCCCACGCCCGAUCCAUUUAGAAAGAAAC
ensembl:lncRNA